GAUUGCAGAAUUCAGUGGAAUCAUCGAAUCUUUGAACGCACCUUGCGCCCCCUGGUAUUCCGGGGAGCACACCUGUUCGAGUGUCUUG
rnacentral:rRNA from 1 species